AAUUAAAUUUAAUUAAAUUAAUUAUAAAUUAUUAAAUGUUAAAUCAUUAAAUUAAAAAGAUUUGGCGGUAUUUUAGAAAGUUAGAGGAACCUGUAUAGUAAUUGAUAAUCCACAAUAAGAUUUACUUAAUUAAAAGUUUAUGUAUUGCUGUUUAGAGAUUAUUAAUAAAUAAGUUUUUAAAUUUUUAUAUAUAAAUAAAUUCAAGUCAAAAUAUAAUUUAGUUAAGAUUAAUAUGGGUUACAAUUAUUUAAAUAUGUAAUAUUAAUGAAUAAAUAAAUUUAAUUUUAUUUUAAAAAUGGAUUUAAUAGUAAAUUUAAUAAAUAAAUUAUUUUGAAAUAAAAUAAUAAAAUAAGU
rnacentral:rRNA from 1 species